UAAUACGAGGACCCCGAGCGUUAUCCGGAUUUAUUGGGCGUAAAGAGUGCGCAGGAGGUCUGAUGCGUCUUGUGUUAAAUGUCACUGCUUAACAGUGUCGCCGCAUGAGAUACGAUCAGACUAGAGCAUGUUAGAGGUUACUAGAACUUAUGGUGUAGGGGUGAAAUCCGUUGAUAUCAUAGGGAAUACCAAAGGCGAAGGCAUGUAACUGGAACAUUGCUGACUCUCAUUGCACGAAAGCGUGGGGAGCAAAAAGGAUUAGAUACCCUUGUAGUCCACGCCCUAAACGAUGCCGACUAGCUGUUUCGAGUAUCGACCCUCGGAGUGGCGCAGCUAACGCGUUAAGUCGGCCGCCUGGGAAGUACGAUCGCAAGAUUA
rnacentral:rRNA from 1 species